rnacentral:rRNA from 1 species
CCUACGGGAGGCAGCAGUGAGGAAUAUUGGUCAAUGGCCGGAAGGCUGAACCAGCCAUGCCGCGUGAAGGUCAGUGCCCUAUGGGCGUUAAACUUCUUUUGUGCGGGAGCAAUAAUGGUCACGUGUGGCCAGACGAGAGUACCGUACGAAUAAGCAUCGGCUAACUCCGUGCCAGCAGCCGCGGUAAUACGGGGGAUGCAAGCGUUAUCCGGAUUUAUUGGGUUUAAAGGGUGGGUAGGCUGUGAGGUAAGUCAGCGGUGAAAUGCCCCCGCUCAACGGGGUGAAGUGCCAUUGAUACUGCCUGGCUGGAAUGCGGAUGCCGUGGGAGGAAUGUGUGGUGUAGCGGUGAAAUGCAUAGAUAUCACACAGAACACCGAUUGCGAAGGCAUCUCACGAAGCCGCGAUUGACGCUGAUGCACGAAAGCGUGGGUAUCAAACAGGAUUAGAUACCCGGGUAGUC